CCCAAGUGCAACCAUAAAUUUCCGCGCCCAACUUUAAUCAUCUGUCUUAUUUUAAUUUUUUUUUAUAAUUAGUAUUUUUAUUAUUAUGAGAUGAUAAAACAUGAAUAGUAGUUUAUAUAUAACUUAUGUUUUUAAAUUUUUUCAAAAAAUUUAUAAAUAAAACGGACGGUCAAAGUUUUGCACGGAAAAUCAUGGCUGCACUUAAA
rfam:Oryza sativa (indica cultivar-group) chromosome 10, whole genome shotgun sequence.